AGUGAACGCUGGCGGUAGGCCUAACACAUGCAAGUCGAACGGCAGCACAGUAAGAGCUUGCUCUUACGGGUGGCGAGUGGCGGACGGGUGAGGAAUACAUCGGAAUCUACUUUUUCGUGGGGGAUAACGUAGGGAAACUUACGCUAAUACCGCAUACGACCUACGGGUGAAAGCAGGGGAUCUUCGGACCUUGCGCGAUUGAAUGAGCCGAUGUCGGAUUAGCUAGUUGGCGGGGUAAGGGCCCACCAAGGCGACGAUCCGUAGCUGGUCUGAGAGGAUGAUCAGCCACACUGGAACGUGGCCACGGUCCAGACUCCUACGGGAGGCAGCAGUGUGGAAUAUUGGACAAUGGGCGCAAGCCUGAUCCAGUCAUACCGCGUGGGUGAAGAAGGCCUUCGGGUUGUAAAGCCCUUUUGUUGGGAAAGAAAAGCAGCAGGUUAAUACCCCGCUGUUCUGACGGUACCCAAAGAAUAAGCACCGGCUAACUUCGUG
rnacentral:rRNA from 1 species